AGAGUUUGAUCCUGGCUCAGGGCGAACGCUGGCGGCACGCCUCAUACAUGCAAGUCGAGCGAUCGGAUGCUGGGUGCUUGCACCCGGCAUUACGGAGCGGCGAACGGGUGAGUAACACGUGAGGAACCUGCCUCGAAGACGGGGAUAACGUUGGGAAACCAACGCUAAUACCCGAUGACCCGAUAGAGGGACAUCCCUCAGUCGGCAAAAGGUUGGGCAACCUUCUGCUUCGAGAGGGCCUCGCGGCCUAUCAGCUUGUUGGCGGGGUAACGGCCCACCAAGGCGAUGACGGGUAGCUGGCGUGAGAGCGCGACCAGCCACACCGGGACUGAGACACGGCCCGGACUCCUACGGGAGGCAGCAGUUAGGAAUCUUGGACAAUGGGCGCAAGCCUGAUCCAGCCAUGCCGCGUGAGUGAUGAAGGCCCUAGGGUUGUAAAGCUCUUUCAGCGGGGAAGAUAAUGACGGUACCCGCAGAAGAAGCCCCGGCUAACUUCGUGCCAGCAGCCGCGGUAAUACGAAGGGGGCUAGCGUUGCUCGGAAUCACUGGGCGUAAAGCGCACGUAGGCGGAUUUCUAAGUCAGGGGUGAAAUCCUGGAGCUCAACUCCAGAACUGCCUUUGAUACUGGGAAUCUCGAGUCCGGGAGAGGUGAGUGGAACUGCGAGUGUAGAGGUGAAAUUCGUAGAUAUUCGCAAGAACACCAGUGGCGAAGGCGGCUCACUGGCCCGGUACUGACGCUGAGGUGCGAAAGCGUGGGGAGCAAACAGGAUUAGAUACCCUGGUAGUCC
rnacentral:rRNA from 1 species